rnacentral:rRNA from 1 species
AGGAUAAACGCUGGCGGCGUGCCUAACACAUGCAAGUCGAACGUCCUUGCGGUCUUCUUCUUCGGAGGAGGACCGCGAGGGAGUGGCGGACGGGUGAGUAACACAUGGGUACCUGCCUUUCAGUGAGGAAUACCGGCGAGAAAUCGCCGACAAGACCGCAUAGGCUUCCUUCGGUAGCCCGAGGGAAGCAAAGUUACUUCGCGAGAGGUGACGCUGGAAGAGGGGCCUGUGGCCGAUUAGCUAGUUGGGGGGUAACGGCCUCCCAAGGCGACGAUCGGUAGCUGGUCUGAGAGGACGAUCAGCCACACUGGGAUUGAGAACGGCCCAGACUCCUACGGGGGGCAGCAGUGAGGAAUUUUCCGCAAUGGACGAAAGUCUGACGGAGCAACGCCGCGUGCAGGAGGAAGGUUUCGGAUCGUAAACUGCUUUUCUCGGGGACGAGCAAGGACGGUACCCGAGGAAGAAGCCCGGCUAACUACGUGCCAGCAGCCGCGGUAA